rnacentral:rRNA from 1 species
AGUGAACGUUGGCGGCGUGGAUUAGGCAUGCAAGUCGAGCGAGAACCGUAGCAAUACGGGGACAGCGGCGAAAGGGACAGUAAUGUGUAGGUGCCUACCCCGAGGUCUGGGAUAGCUGCGGGAAACGGCAGGUAAUACCGGAUAAUGUCUUCGGACCAAAGGUGUGAUUCCACCUUGGGAGGGGCCUGCAUCCUAUUAGCUAGUUGGCGGGGUAAUGGCCCACCAAGGCGACGAUGGGUAGCGGGUGUGAGAGCACGACCCGCGUCAUUGGGACUGAGACACUGCCCAGACACCUACGGGUGGCUGCAGUCGAGGAUCUUCGGCAAUGGGCGAAAGCCUGACCGAGCGACGCCGCGUGCGGGAUGAAGGCCUUCGGGUUGUAAACCGCUGUCGUAGAGGAGGAAAUGCGGGUGGGUUCUCCCAUCUGUUUGACCUAUUCUAGGAGGAAGUACGGGCUAAGUUCGUGCCAGCCGCCGCUGUAA